GCGGCGGCGCCGGGACCCCGCUCCCGCCGGGCUCCCGGGUCCCCGAGGGCGAGAGAGACCCCGAAUCCCGAGGCGGGCCGGGACCUGGGCGCGGCCGCACCCCCCAUCCACCCCGGCACGGGGGCCGGGCCGCGGGAACGCCCUCUCGGAAUGAAGCGCUUCCCGGUGCCUUCAAGAGUUCUAAGCCCCACUCCAUCGGAUUGGAAGAACCUAGGCUGCCUACCCACUGCGUUUGGAGUUACUUCUCUCGCAGGGGUGAGGAGUACUUCUAGAGGUAGCCCUCCCAGGACAAUGCAACUGUAAAUGGAUGAUCCUCACAGUAAAUUGAAGAUCUCAGCGGUAUUAAGAAAAAACGAUCUUUAGAGCAACUGGCCCAAACCCCAGAAUUAGGAGAUUAGAGGAUUCGGUUCCAGCUCUUUCUCUCUUGUAUGACACACCCUGAAAAUCACUGAGAGAAUUAAAGCAUAAAUUGCUUUAUACUUUAAAAAAUCCUUUCGAAAAAUACGGUGGGCAAAUGACAUUCCGCCCAAGCACCAAGAAGCAACUUGGCACAUUCAUUCAUUCCACAAAUAUUUACUGAACACCUUCUACGUACCAGACACUGUCUUAGGUGCUAUAUUCCUACCACCUACCUUGGCGAAACUUGCUUACUAGAGACAGGAGUCAGAUAAUAAAUAAAUAGAUAAAUAAAUUAGUGAUUUGUCAGUUACAUGUUGGUAAGCGCUGGGGAGAAGGAAGGGGGCUAAGGAGGGUGGGAGGCAUGGGGGAGAGGGUGAUAAGCAAUUUUAAAUUAGGAAAGUUCUCACAGGGAGGGUGUUGUUUCAGCAAAGAAUUGAAGGAAAUGAGGUCCAUUAAUCUGUUAUCCAGAACUCUCAUUUAAGCAGAAUUUCUGCAUCUCUUAAGUGCAAUGAUAGUUGAUAUUCAUAAAUUGAUUUCCCCUGCUCUAAAACAGUGGUUCCCAAACUUUAACGUGCAUAAAAAAAAAUCACCCAGUGAUUUUCAGUAGACUCAGGGUAGACGGGGGCUCUGAAAAAUGCAUUUUUAAACAAGCACCUCUAUCUGAUGAUGCUGAUAGCUGAGGUUUUCCUUGGACCACUCUUGAAGAAACACUGCUUUAAAAUAUACUAAAGAGUCUUCUAGAAUGAAAACAAUAACAAAAUUAAAGAUUAAAUUACA